rnacentral:sRNA from 1 species
CCUGAUCCCGAACUCCCUGUGCAGAGACCAGACUCGCCCGAAUACGGGGAGAAAAAUGAGCCGCGUGCAGCAGGGGCAGCCUCGGUCCCCUGCCUGCUCCGCCCACGGCGAGCGUUCCUGGGGCCUCGGGUUUCCCCCCUUCCGCUGGCUGCUCGGAACCGCAGGACCAACCCACCUGGCCGCCCUGCUUCCCCUCCAGUGGGUCCUGGCCUUCGAGAUCUUCAUCCCCCUGGUGCUGUUCUUCAUCCUGCUGGGGCUGCGGCAGAAGAAGCCCACCAUCUCCGUGAAGGAAGCCUUCUACACAGCGGCACCCCUGACGUCUGCUGGCAUCCUGCCUGUCAUGCAGUCGCUGUGCCCGGACGGCCAGCGGGACGAGUUCGGCUUCCUGCAGUACGCCAACUCCACGUGAGUGCCCACCCGCCCCUCGGAGCACCCACCCCUCCCCAGCCCAUCCAGUGAGUGACAUCUGCCACGGUGCAGGGUCACGCAGCUGCUUGAGCGCCUGGACCGCGUGGUGGAGGAAGGAAACCUGUUCGACCCAGCGCGGCCCAGCCUGGGCUCAGAGCUCGAGGCCCUGCGCCAGCAUCUGGAGGCCCUCAGUGCGGGCCCGGGCACCUCGGGGAGCCACCUGGACAGAUCCACAGUGUCUUCCUUCUCUCUGGACUCGGUGGCCAGGGACCCGCAGGAGCUCUGGCGUUUCCUGACGCAAAACCUGUCGCUGCCCAAUAGCACGGCCCAAGCCCUCUUGGCCGCCCGUGUGGACCCGCCUGAGGUCUACCACCUGCUCUUUGGUCCCUCGUCUGCCCUGGAUUCACAGUCUGGCCUCCACAAGGGUCAGGAGCCCUGGAGCCGCCUAGGGGGCAAUCCCCUGUUCCGGAUGGAGGAGCUGCUGCUGGCUCCUGCCCUCCUGGAGCAGCUCACCUGCACGCCAGGCUCGGGGGAGCUGGGCCGGAUCCUCACUGUGCCUGAGAGUCAGAAGGGGGCCCUGCAGGGCUACCAGGAUGCUGUCUGCAGUGGACAGGCUGCUGCGCGUGCCAGGCGCUUCUCUGGGCUGUCUGCUGAGCUCCAGAACCAGCUGGACAUGGCCAGGGUCUCCCAGCAGCUGGGCCUGGAUGCCCCCAACGGCUCGGACUCCUCGCCACAGGCGCCACCCCCACGGAGACUGCAGGCGCUUCUGGGGGACCUGCUGGAUGCCCAGAAGGUUCUGCAGGAUGUGGAUGUCCUGUCGGCCCUGGCCCUGCUACUGCCCCAGGGUGCCUGCACUGGCCGGACCCCCGGACCCCCAGCCAGCGGUGCGGGUGGGGCGGCCAAUGGCACUGGGGCAGGGGCAGUCGUGGGCCCCAACGCCACUGCUGAGGAGGGCGCACCCUCUGCUGCAGCACCGGCCUCCCCGGACACGCUGCAGGGCCAGUGCUCAGCCUUCGUACAGCUCUGGGCCGGCCUGCAGCCCAUCUUGUGUGGCAACAACCGCACCAUUGAACCCGAGGCGCUGCGGCGGGGCAACAUGAGCUCCCUGGGCUUCACAAGCAAGGAGCAGCGGAACCUGGGCCUCCUCGUGCACCUCAUGACCAGCAACCCCAAAAUCCUGUACGCGCCUGCGGGCUCUGAGGUUGACCGCGUCAUCCUCAAGGCCAACGAGACUUUUGCCUUUGUGGGCAACGUGACUCACUAUGCCCAGGUCUGGCUCAACAUCUCGGCGGAGAUCCGCAGCUUCCUGGAGCAGGGCAGGCUGCAGCAACACCUGCACUGGCUGCAGCAGUAUGUAGCGGAGCUGCGGCUGCACCCCGAGGCACUGAACCUGUCGCUGGAUGAGCUGCCGCCGGCCCUGAGACAGGACAACUUCUCGCUGCCCAGUGGCAUGGCCCUCCUGCAGCAGCUGGAUACCAUUGACAACGCGGCCUGCGGCUGGAUCCAGUUCAUGUCCAAGGUGAGCGUGGACAUCUUCAAGGGCUUCCCCGACGAGGAGAGCAUUGUCAACUACACCCUCAACCAGGCCUACCAGGACAACGUCACUGUGUUUGCCAGUGUGAUCUUCCAGACCCGGAAGGACGGCUCGCUCCCGCCUCACGUGCACUACAAGAUCCGCCAAAACUCCAGCUUCACCGAGAAAACCAACGAGAUCCGUCGCGCCUACUGGCGGCCUGGGCCCAAUACUGGCGGCCGCUUUUACUUCCUCUACGGCUUCGUCUGGAUCCAGGACAUGAUGGAGCGCGCCAUCAUCGACACCUUUGUGGGGCACGACGUGGUGGAGCCGGGCAGCUACGUGCAGAUGUUCCCCUACCCCUGCUACACACGCGAUGAGUGAGUGCUCGGCGCCCGGGGCUGGGCUGGGGCUGGGGCUGAGUAGCGCCUGAGCGCGGCCUCCCCGCAGCUUCCUGUUUGUCAUUGAGCACAUGAUGCCGCUGUGCAUGGUGAUCUCCUGGGUCUACUCCGUGGCCAUGACCAUCCAGCACAUCGUGGCGGAGAAGGAGCACCGGCUCAAGGAGGUGAUGAAGACCAUGGGCCUGAACAACGCGGUGCACUGGGUGGCCUGGUUCAUCACCGGCUUUGUGCAGCUGUCCAUCUCCGUGACAGCGCUCACCGCCAUCCUGAAGUACGGCCAAGUGCUCAUGCACAGCCACGUGGUCAUCAUCUGGCUCUUCCUGGCGGUCUACGCCGUGGCCACCAUCAUGUUCUGCUUCUUGGUGUCUGUGCUGUACUCCAAGGCCAAGCUGGCCUCGGCCUGCGGCGGCAUCAUCUACUUCCUGAGCUACGUGCCCUACAUGUACGUGGCAAUCCGAGAGGAGGUGGCGCAUGAUAAGAUCACGGCCUUCGAGAAGUGCAUCGCGGUGAGGGUCGUGGGCAGGCGGGCGGCUGGGGUGCCGGGCCACUCCAUGUGCUGACACCACUGCCUUCUCAGUCCCUCAUGUCCACCACAGCCUUUGGCCUGGGCUCCAAGUACUUUGCGCUGUACGAGGUGGCCGGCGUGGGCAUCCAGUGGCACACCUUCAGCCAGUCCCCAGUGGAGGGGGACGACUUCAACCUGCUCCUGGCUGUCACCAUGCUGAUGGUGGACGCCAUGGUCUAUGGCGUCCUCACGUGGUACAUUGAGGCUGUGCACCCAGGCAUGUACGGGCUGCCCCGGCCCUGGUACUUCCCACUGCAGAAGUCCUACUGGCUGGGCAGUGGGCGGACAGAAGCCUGGGAGUGGAGCUGGCCGUGGGCACGCACCCCCCGCCUCAGUGUCAUGGAGGAGGACCAGGCCUGUGCCAUGGAGAGCCGGCGCUUUGAGGAGACCCGUGGCAUGGAGGAGGAGCCCACCCACCUGCCUCUGGUUGUCUGCGUGGACAGACUCACCAAGGUCUACAAGGACGACAAGAAGCUGGCCCUGAACAAGCUGAGCCUGAACCUCUACGAGAACCAGGUGGUCUCCUUCUUGGGCCACAACGGGGCGGGCAAGACCACCACCAUGUCCAUCCUGACCGGCCUGUUCCCUCCGACGUCGGGUUCCGCCACCAUCUACGGGCACGACAUCCGCACGGAGAUGGACGAGAUCCGCAAGAACCUGGGCAUGUGCCCGCAGCACAACGUGCUCUUUGACCGGCUCACGGUGGAGGAGCACCUCUGGUUCUACUCACGGCUCAAGAGCAUGGCCCAGGAGGAGAUCCGCAGAGAGAUGGACAAGAUGAUCGAGGACCUGGAGCUCUCCAACAAACGGCACUCACUGGUGCAGACGUUGUCGGGUGGCAUGAAGCGCAAGCUGUCCGUGGCCAUCGCCUUCGUGGGCGGCUCUCGUGCCAUCAUCCUGGAUGAGCCCACGGCGGGCGUGGACCCCUACGCGCGCCGCGCCAUCUGGGACCUCAUCCUGAAGUACAAGCCAGGUGAGUGGGGUGCCGUGCGGGCAGGGGUGCGGGCGGCGCCUCCCCUGCCCCCUGACCCUGGGUCUGGCCUUGUCCUAGGCCGCACCAUCCUUCUGUCCACCCACCACAUGGAUGAGGCUGACCUGCUUGGGGACCGCAUUGCCAUCAUCUCCCAUGGGAAGCUGAAGUGCUGCGGCUCCCCGCUCUUCCUCAAGGGCACCUAUGGCGACGGGUACCGCCUCACGCUGGUCAAGCGGCCCGCCGAGCCGGGGGGCCCCCAAGAGCCAGGGCUGGCAUCCAGCCCCCCAGGUCGGGCCCCGCUGAGCAGCUGCUCUGAGCUCCAGGUGUCCCAGUUCAUCCGCAAGCACGUGGCCUCCUGCCUGCUGGUCUCAGACACAAGCACGGAGCUCUCCUACAUCCUGCCCAGCGAGGCUGCCAAGAAGGGGGCUUUCGAGCGCCUCUUCCAGCACCUGGAGCGUAGCCUGGACGCGCUGCACCUCAGCAGCUUCGGGCUGAUGGACACGACCCUGGAGGAAGUGUUCCUCAAGGUGUCGGAGGAGGAUCAGUCGCUGGAGAACAGUGAGGCCGAUGUGAAGGAGUCCAGGAAGGACGUGCUCCCCGGGGCAGAAGGCCCGUCGUCUGGGGAGGGUCACGCUGGCAAUCUGGCCCGGUGCUCGGAGCUGACCCAGUCGCAGGCAUCACUGCAGUCGGCAUCAUCCGUGGGCUCUGCCCGCGGCGACGAGGGAGCUGGCUAUGCCGACGUCUAUGGCGACUACCACCCCCUCUUUGAUAACCCACAGGACCCAGACAAUGUCAGCCUGCAAGAGGUGGAGGCGGAGGCCCUGUCGAGGGUCGGCCAGGGCAGCCGCAAGCUAGACGGCGGGUGGCUGAAGGUGCGCCAGUUCCACGGGCUGCUGGUCAAACGCUUCCACUGCGCCCGCCGCAACUCCAAGGCACUCUUCUCCCAGAUCCUGCUGCCAGCCUUCUUCGUCUGCGUGGCCAUGACCGUGGCCCUGUCUGUGCCCGAGAUUGGUGAUCUGCCCCCGCUGGUCCUGUCACCUUCCCAGUACCACAACUACACCCAGCCCCGUGGCAAUUUCAUCCCCUACGCCAACGAGGAGCGCAGCGAGUACCGGCUGCGGCUAUCGCCCGACGCCAGCCCCCAACAGCUCGUGAGCACGUUCCGGCUGCCGUCCGGGGUGGGUGCCACCUGCGUGCUCAAGUCUCCCACCAACGGCUCUCUGGGGCCCAUGUUGAACCUGAGCAGCGGGGAGUCGCGCCUGCUGGCGGCUCGGUUCUUCGACAGCAUGUGUCUGGAGUCCUUCACACAGGGGCUGCCGCUGUCCAACUUCGUGCCGCCCCCACCCUCGCCCGCCCCAUCUGACUCGCCAGCGUCCCCGGAUGAGGACCUGCAGGCCUGGAACGUCUCCCUGUCGCCCACCGCUGGGCCAGGUAGUGGUUUAGGGGGCCUGCUGGGGGGGCAGGGGCAGUAAGGGGUCCUUCUCACCGCACCACGCUGUGCCCACAGAAAUGUGGACGUCGGCACCCUCCCUACCGCGCCUGGUACGGGAACCCGUCCGCUGCACCUGCUCCGCGCAGGGCACCGGUUUCUCCUGCCCCAGCAGUGUGGGCGGGCACCCGCCCCAGAUGCGGGUGGUCACAGGCGACAUCCUGACCGACAUCACCGGCCACAACGUCUCUGAGUACCUGCUCUUCACCUCCGACCGCUUCCGACUGCACCGGUAUGGGGCCAUCACCUUUGGAAACGUCCUCAAGUCCAUCCCAGCCUCAUUUGGCGCCAGGGCCCCACCCAUGGUGCGGAAGAUCGCGGUGCGCAGGGCUGCCCAGGUUUUCUACAACAACAAGGGCUAUCACAGCAUGCCCACCUACCUCAACAGCCUCAAUAACGCCAUCCUGCGUGCCAACCUGCCCAAGAGCAAGGGCAACCCGGCGGCUUACGGCAUCACCGUCACCAACCACCCCAUGAAUAAGACCAGCGCCAGCCUCUCCCUGGAUUACCUGCUGCAGGGCACGGAUGUCGUCAUUGCCAUCUUCAUCAUCGUGGCCAUGUCAUUCGUGCCGGCCAGCUUCGUCGUCUUCCUCGUGGCCGAGAAGUCCACCAAGGCCAAGCACCUGCAGUUCGUCAGCGGCUGCAACCCCAUCAUCUACUGGCUGGCAAACUACGUGUGGGACAUGCUCAACUACCUGGUCCCCGCUACCUGCUGCGUCAUCAUCCUGUUUGUGUUCGACCUGCCGGCCUACACGUCGCCCACCAACUUCCCUGCCGUCCUCUCCCUCUUCCUGCUCUACGGGUAAGGGGGAGCGGAGCGGGGAGCGGCCUCAGGUGGGGCCGGGGCUGCCUGGUGACCACUGCCCGCCACCUGCCCGCAGGUGGUCCAUCACGCCCAUCAUGUACCCAGCCUCCUUCUGGUUCGAGGUCCCCAGCUCGGCCUACGUGUUCCUCAUUGUCAUCAAUCUUUUCAUUGGCAUCACCGCCACUGUGGCCACCUUCCUGCUACAGCUCUUCGAGCACGACAAGGUGGGGCGGCGACAACAUGGUGGGGGUGGCGGGCUCUGCGGAGGCUGUGCCCCUGACCCCGGCCACCCCGCAGGACCUGAAGGUCGUCAACAGUUACCUGAAAAGCUGCUUCCUCAUUUUCCCCAACUACAACCUGGGCCACGGGCUCAUGGAGAUGGCCUACAACGAGUACAUCAACGAGUACUACGCCAAGAUUGGUGAGGGGGCCCGUGGGGCGGGGGAGGCGGUGGGGGCCCCGCAAGGCCCAGAGCACAGGCCCUGAGCUGGCUCCCCACAGGCCAGUUUGACAAGAUGAAGUCCCCGUUCGAGUGGGACAUUGUCACCCGCGGACUGGUGGCCAUGGCGGUUGAGGGCGUCGUGGGCUUCCUCCUGACCAUCAUGUGCCAGUACAACUUCCUGCGGCGGCCACAGCGCAUGCCCGUGUCUACCAAGCCUGUGGAGGAUGAUGUGGACGUGGCCAGCGAGCGGCAGCGAGUGCUCCGGGGAGACGCCGACAACGACAUGGUCAAGAUUGAGAACCUGACCAAGGUCUACAAGUCCCGGAAGAUUGGCCGUAUCCUGGCCGUUGACCGCCUAUGCCUUGGUGUGCGUCCUGGCGAGUGCUUCGGGCUCCUGGGCGUCAACGGUGCGGGCAAGACCAGCACCUUCAAGAUGCUGACCGGCGAUGAGAGCACGACGGGGGGCGAGGCCUUCGUCAAUGGACACAGGUGCGGCGGGAGCCCUGGGUGGGCGGGGCCGCCGCAUCCUCACGCACUGACAGCCGCCGUGUCCCCAGCGUGCUGAAGGAGCUGCUCCAGGUGCAGCAGAGCCUCGGCUACUGCCCGCAGUGCGACGCGCUGUUCGACGAGCUCACGGCCCGGGAGCACCUGCAGCUGUACACGCGGCUGCGUGGGAUCUCCUGGAAGGACGAGGCCAGGGUGAGGAUCUGUGGGGUGGGGCAGGGAGCCAGCACGCUGGGCGGCCCUGCCUCUGCUGACACCUGCGUUCCCCGGCCAGGUGGUGAAGUGGGCUCUGGAGAAGCUGGAGCUGACCAAGUACGCAGACAAGCCGGCCGGCACCUACAGCGGCGGCAACAAGCGGAAGCUCUCCACGGCCAUCGCCCUCAUUGGGUACCCAGCCUUCAUCUUCCUGGACGAGCCCACCACAGGCAUGGACCCCAAGGCCCGGCGCUUCCUCUGGAACCUCAUCCUCGACCUCAUCAAGACAGGGCGUUCGGUGGUGCUGACAUCACACAGGUGAGGCGCCCCCACCCCCCCUUUGUGCCCCCACCCCACAGCACCUCUUCUGGUGCCAGCCUGUGCCUGUCCCGCAGCAUGGAGGAGUGCGAGGCGCUGUGCACGCGGCUAGCCAUCAUGGUGAACGGUCGCCUGCGGUGCCUGGGCAGCAUCCAGCACCUGAAGAACCGGUUUGGAGAUGGCUACAUGAUCACGGUGCGGACCAAGAGCAGCCAGAGCGUGAAGGAUGUGGUGCGGUUCUUCAACCGCAACUUCCCGGAAGCCAUGCUCAAGGAGCGGCACCACACAAAGGUGCAGUACCAGCUCAAGUCGGAGCACAUCUCGCUGGCCCAGGUGUUCAGCAAGAUGGAGCAGGUGUCUGGCGUGCUGGGCAUCGAGGACUACUCAGUCAGCCAGACCACACUGGACAAUGUGUUCGUGAACUUCGCCAAGAAGCAGAGUGACAACCUGGAACAGCAGGAGACGGAGCCGCCAUCCGCACUGCAGUCCCCUCUCGGCUGCUUGCUCAGCCUGCUCCGGCCCCGACCUGCCCCCACGGAGCUCCGGGCACUUGUGGCAGAUGAGCCCGAGGACCUGGACACGGAGGACGAGGGCCUCAUCAGCUUCGAGGAGGAGCGGGCCCAGCUGUCCUUCAACACGGACACGCUCUGCUGACCACCCAGAGCUGGGCCAGGGAGGACACGCUCCGCUGACCACUCAGAGCUGGACCAGGGACUCAACAAUGGGGACAGAAGUCCCCCAGUGCCUGCCAGGGCCUGGAGUGGAGGUUCAGGACCAAGGGGCUUCUGGCCCUCCAGCCCCCGUACUCGGCCAUGCCCUGUGGUCACUGCGGUUGCCGCCCCUAAUUGUGCCAAAGGCUGACCCGGCCCGGGCUGCGCACACCCUCGCCCUGCUUUGCCUUAAAGCCUUGGGGUCUGCCCGGCCCCUCGCCCCUGCCUGGCUCUGCUCACCGCCCAAGGUGACGCUGGCUGGACCAGGCACUGCUGGCCUUUCUCCUGCCCGGCCUUGGAACCAGCUUUUUUCUCCUACAGUGAAGGCUGAUGCUGAGAGUGGGCUGUGGGCGGAGCUGGGUCAGUCCCGUAUUUAUUUUGCUUUGAGAAGAGGCUCCUCUGGCCCUGCUCUCCUGCAGGGAGGUGGCUGUCCCGCGGGAAGCCAUCAGCUUGGGCCAGCUGGCAGGUGGCAGGAAUGGAGAAGCUGACCCUGCUG